CACUCAUCAAGAGCAGUGGAGGGACUGGCCCUAUGAAACUGCGGCAACCGUUGGCGUAGGCCAAAAAGGUGCCAAUUCCUAUAGGUAUUGCCUAUGAGAUGGGAG
rnacentral:ncRNA from 21 species